UCGGGAAUAUUGCACAAUGGAGGAAACUCUGAUGCAGUGACGCCGCGUGCAGGAAGAAGGUUUUCGGAUUGUAAACUGCUUUAGAUGGGGAAGAAGAAAGACUGUACCCAUAGAAUAAGCUCCGGCUAACUACGUGCCAGCAGCCGCGGUAAUACGUAGGGAGCAAGCGUUAUCCGGAUUUAUUGGGUGUAAAGGGUGCGUAGACGGGAAUUUAAGUUAGUUGUGAAAUCCCUCGGCUUAACUGAGGAACUGCAACUAAAACUGAAUUUCUUGAGUGCGGGAGAGGAAAGUGGAAUUCCUAGU
rnacentral:rRNA from 1 species